rnacentral:lncRNA from 1 species
CUGAGUCUCAGACACAACUGGCUAGUGAUUUUAGUAAAUAAUUUUGCCAAUUUGGUAAAAUUGGCAAAAAAAAAAUAAUAACUAAAUAGUUAAUAAUUACUGUAAUUUUGGCAAAAUUGGCCAAAAACAAAAAAAAUUACCUACUAAAAUCACUAGCCAGUUGUGUCAGAGUUUGGGGAACCGACUAUACUAAUAAACAAUUUCUAAGCUGUUUUAUAAUAUUUUGUGAGUCCAUUAAUCAUAUUUUUUAUUUAAAACUAAAAUUUGUUAAUAAUGCUUAGUAAUGCAUAUAUUUUGUAUUUUUAGCUUUCCAGAAGAUCCUGCGAAGAAGACAUGAAGUAUAGAUCAGAUUUGUUAAUAGAGGAGUAUGUUCAAAACACUUUUUAGAAAAAGAUAUUGACAGAACUUCACUUUCAUCUGUUCAUUUAAGAGACUGUGCUGUUCCAAUAGCUUAUGUCACACAGAAUCAGCUGAGAGAAGUGGUCUACAAAAAACCAGAAAGGAAACGGAAUAUGUGGCUACGAAAAGCAAAAGAAAGGUUUACAAAGCAAAUGUGACACAUUUUUUUAUAAUAUUUAGGAAUGUCAGUAAAUUACAUUAAAAAAUGUAUGUAAAGAUUUUUUGCAAUAAAAAUGUUUAUAUUUA